UCUAUUGUAGCAAUACGAUGGGAAGUCUAGUGGCGAACGGGUGCUUAACACGUGGGCAACCUGCCGGGAAGUGGGGGAUAGCUCGCCGAAAGGCGAAUUAAUACCGCAUAUGAUUAGAGAGGACAUCCUUUCGAAAUUAAAGUCGGGGCAACCUGACGCUUUUUGUGGGGCCCGCGGCCUAUCAGCUAGUUGGUGGGGUAACGGCUCACCAAGGCUUUGACGGGUAGCUGGUCUGAGAGGACGACCAGCCACACUGGGACUGAGACACGGCCCAGACACCUACGGGUGGCAGCAGUCGAGAAUUUUUGACAAUGGGGGAAACCCUGAUCGAGCGACGCCGCGUGGAGGAUGAAGGUCUUCGGAUUGUAAACUCCUGUCAUUGGGGAACAAUGUCCCGCCAUUAACUGUGGCGGGAUUGAUAGUACCCGAAGAGGAAGAGACGGCUAACUCUGUGCCAGCAGCCGCGGUAAUACAGAGGUCUCAAGCGUUGUUCGGAUUCAUUGGGCGUAAAGGGUGCGUAGGCGGCGCGGUAAGUCGGGUGUGAAAUCUCGGGGCUUAACUCCGAAACUGCAUUCGAUACUGCCGUGCUUGAGGACUGGAGAGGAGACUGGAAUUCACGGUGUAGCA
rnacentral:rRNA from 1 species